rnacentral:lncRNA from 1 species
CUUAAAAUCAUAGAUUUUGUGAGUUAGUAGUAGAAUUUUUGAAAAAAAUAGAAAAUAAAUUGCUAAUAAGGGAUUUGCAAUCUAUGAUAGAAUUUAUUAAGAUAAAUUUCUACAAUAAAUAGGCUUUUCAUAGCUAACAUUAAAUGAUGGCCAAUAGGAGUAUUCCUUGUAUUCGAUCUUAAGGUUAUUGUUGCAGUGCUGAAAGGGUCUUUAAGUGAGGCAAUAGUAGAUCUAGUAAUGCUAAAAUAUUGAAAGAAGUAUUUAGAAUAGUACACUGGUUUUCAAUAUAAAAUACUAUCUACUUAAUUGUAACCUUAUACCGAGAAUUGUCACUCCUAGUGUUACACUUGUACACAUAAUAUAUUGUGUGAAAAUUUAUCAUAUUAAUAUGUAAGAUGUUUUAAACAUGGUAUGAGAACAAUAGAAAUGUUUGAUCCUUAGAAAGCUUUAAAAAAUACUUUAUCUAAAAAAGAAUUGCUGGAAAUACAAAUCAGAUUGUAAUGACAACAAUAAUACAAUCUAUUGUAAUAGGAAAGGUUGAUGAAGAACUUGAAGUUCUUCAAACCAUGAAAAGAAAUUCUAAACCUAAAAAUAUUAAAAAUUAAAUUAAAUUAAUGAAGAAUGAAUCAAUAAAUAAUUUUAAUUCAACUUCAAAUUAAGAAUAUUGAAGAUUACAUAGAAAGUGGACAUCAAUCAUGUUCCAAAAUUUGAUGGUUCUUAUUUUAAUAUAUAAAAACAUACAUUAGCACUAGUUUUUAAGGUUGAAAAGAUAUGAUCCAUAGUAAGAGGUGAAGAAUGCUCAUCAAUGGAACCAAUGAUAGUUGAAGUUGCUGUUGGAAUCCUAGCAUUAUCUACCAUAAGAGUAAGGAGUAUAAGCACAUGGAUAGAUAAGGAUACCCUGUCUUUUAUUAUAAUCAACAAUUGCCUAAAAAACAACAUUUUUUUAUAUAUACAAUCUUAUACAUCAAAAAAUUCAACAUGACAAGAAGUAGUAAAAAUAUUUGAAUCACAUGAUGUAGUAACUAAGAUGUACAAGAUCAACAAUUCCAGAUGAUGAAGUAAUUCUCACCUUAAUGAGAAGUUUGCCUUUAAGUUAUAGAUCCUUUAUUAGCUCUUUGAGAAGGCAGCCUGGGAUCACAUUACCAUUUUUGAUAAAAAAUUUGAUCUAAGAAGAAAUACUCAUGAAAAAAAUGAAUUUAACAUUUGAUAAUAAUUUAGCCCUAUAUACAGAUAAGUAAUUUUAGAAUAAUGAUAAGAAAUCUUAUUUUAAUAAGAAUUUUAGAAGGAAUCCACAAGGAGAGAGUAGUACCUCCAAGCCACAUGAAAAGAGCAAUUUUGCCAUUGACAAGAAGUGCUUUUUUUGUAAGAAAAUUGGUUAUUUAAUCAAAGAUUGUAGAACAAGAAUAGCAAGUAAAAAUUAUAAUAAUAGAAAAAAAAUAUUUUUCUAAAAUCAAAUAAACUAUAUGUGGCAACAUUUAUAGUUAAAGAAAAUUCAAAUUCAAUAUGGUAUGUAGACUUGAGAGCAACUCAACAUAUUUAUCAUAAGUUAGUAGGAUUUGUCAAAUACAUCAAAAAUGAAGUCAAACAAAUUAUCUACUUAGGAAACAAUACUACAACAUACAUCAUAGAAGGACAUGAUGAUAUAAAUAUCAAACUCAUAAAUAGUGAUGAGAAGAUCAUAUCUGAUAUAUUAUAUAUACCAAAACUUUCUAAGAAUUUAUUCUCUACCAGAUAAUUGGAUAAGACAAGAGGAGAAAUUUGCAUAAGAGUUCAAACAACUACAUUUAUCAAUAAAUUUAGUGACACCAUUGCAAUCUGCAAAAUAAACCUUGAUUUAUAUGAAUUAGGUAUAAUAAUACUUUUAAAUAAGCCUCAAAUUGCAAUUCCAGCAACAACACAAUUCAAUAAAGGUGAUUUGUGGCACCUAAGAAUAAGAUACAUAAAUCAAUAAAGACUCAAAUAAAUACAAACAAUGGUAAAAGGGAUUGACCUCUUUGAUGAAAAGAAAAUUACCUAAUGUCAACCUUGCAUAGAAGGUAAAAAACAUAAGGAGAAGUUUUCUACAUAAGAUACAGAAAGAGCUAUCCAAUCAUUAGAACUUGUAUAUUUUGACAUUUGUGAUCCUAUGCAAGUAAGCACACAUUUAGAAUGUACUUAUUUCAUUAUAUUUAUUCAUGAUAUAAUAAGAUAUUGCUAAGUAUAUUUGAUGAAACAUAAAUCUGAAGCAUUUGAAAAAUUUACCUUAUACAAAAAAUUUGUAGAAAAACAAACAAGUUUCAAAAUCAAAACCUUAAGAUUUGAUCAUGGAGGUGAAUUUAAAUCAAAUGAAUUUAAAGAUUUAAUUAACAAAAAAAGAAUAAAAUAAGAAUAUACUGUAGCUUAUAUACUACAAUAAAAUGAUGUUUUUGAAAGAAAAAUAAAACAUUGAUAGAAGUAGUUCUUCUAAUACUAUCUUAUUCAAAUUUAUCUAAAUGUUUUUGAAAUAAAGUACUCCAAAUUUCCAAUUACCUCCAAAAUAGGAGUCCUACUAAAUCUAUAUAAGAUACCAAAAUACCAUUUAAAUUAUGGUACAAAUACUAAUCAAAUUUAUCUUACCUUAGAAUAUUUGGUUACAAAGCUCAUGUAUUCAUUUCUAAAGAAAUAAAAAAGAAAUUAGACUCUCUUUUAUAAAAAGCUAUUUUUCUAGGCUAUAAUAAAGAAUCUAAAGCCUGUAGACUUGUGAAUAUAAAAAAUCAGAAAAUUUUCAUUUCUAGAGAUGUUUUCUUCAAUGAGAAUUUAUAUGAUCUAAAAACAACAUACUUGCAAAAGAAAAAUGAAGAGCUCUUAUUAGACUUAGAAUUAUUUAAGCAUCCUACAACAACUGUAAGGACCAAUGAACAA